UAGAAUACGUGCUUUUCAUUUCAAUAGUUAUCUUUUUUGUUUUCUCUUUCAGUUUAGCUUACACUAUGAGGUUGUUCUUCAAUUUUCGUUAACUUUUUGCUAUACAAUCAUGUGGAAAACGUUAGGAAUUUCAAAACCCAAAAUUCAGAUUCUUUGCUUUCAACUAUUCAAUGAAAUUUUUUUCUUAAAUGGGCUUGAAUUUCUUUUUUUGUAAGAAAUUGUCUUCUUGGAGGCACAUGUAUGUAAGAUUGUUGUUUUCUGGUUGCUGCUUGGAAGCGACAAAAAGGGGAAAAUGGAGAUGGAUUGUAAUUAUUUGGUAAAAUAUAUGACUUCGACCUGAGAAAAAAAGUUACUCCCUAAAACAGAGAGUUCUAUUUGAAGCAAUCUCUCAAUUGCAAAUUGUUUGUCCAUGGCCAGGGGUUGUUUCAGAAUACUCUUUUAAGAUAUGUUUUAAUGGGUUUUUUGAGCUUCAUUAGUGUGCAAAGGUAUGAAGUUAAAUCUAUUUAUAUUGCCUUUAUGAAAUGAAAGGACUCAUUUACUGCAUUUGUGAUCUUUAGGAUGCAAAUUGGAAGAAUGAAGUUAGAGAAAUUAUCAUAGCAUGCGUACACAUGCACCUUAAUUUAUGCACUUACUUCUUGUAUUAUAAUACAAUUAUUCCUUCUAAAACAGAUUAGUGUUGUUGUUUAUGCGCCAGUUAUCAUAAUUUUUAUGGCAUGGAGGCUCCAAGGCCCCCCUACGCCCCCCUUCCCUUAUUCCUCAGGUGCCAAUGUUAUCAGUUUUGCAAAAUGAUCCUCGAGGUCAUGUUAAUUAGAGCAGUUGAUAUACCUGCAGUAAUCCCUGAUUCAGAUGAAGAAGAAAGCGGAUACAAGGGGCGUUCCCAUCUAUAUCAGGCUGAUGCCUUGAGUGAAGCUGUGCAAGAAAUUUCAAUGGAGGAGGAGCAUGUGCUAAUGCAAUAUCCAGGUAGGUGAAACUGCAUAUGAUGAUGGCAGGGAAAACCAUAUGGCCAUAAAAGAAGAUAAUCAUCAAAUUGAUGCGGAAGAUGAUGAUGGUUUGGCUAUUAUCUGGGAAGAGAUGGCCUUUGCAUUAGAGUAUUCUAAGGACUCUGCUGCAGAUCCUGCCACUAAAUGAAAGCAUGCAAGCAGAUGAAGAGGAGUGUGAUCAUUCUUUUUUCUUGAAAGAUGAUCUUGGCUACGUUUGUUGUGUCUGUGGAGUUAUUCAGAACAGCUCUAAUAUCAUAUUACUCUCUCUGAGUCCCAAGAGAUAGAUAGAGAGAAAGCCACUCUGCUGUAUCCUCAUCUCAAGAGCACACCUCCUCCAAAUACUUGUUAUGCAUGUCACUCUUUAUUGUAAAAAGACUUUCUAUAAAAUCAAUAAGGAUCCAAUUAGUUUUUUCUUUAUUUUUUAAAUAUAAAAUAAAAUUGAUUUGAUUUUCCACAUUAAGGAAUUAAAUUAGAUUAUACAUUUUAAAUUUAGCUAAUGCAUUUC